rnacentral:rRNA from 1 species
GAUGAACGCUGGCGGCGUGCCUAAUACAUGCAAGUCGAGCGAACGGACGAGAAGCUUGCUUCUCUGAUGUUAGCGGCGGACGGGUGAGUAACACGUGGAUAACCUACCUAUAAGACUGGGAUAACUUCGGGAAACCGGAGCUAAUACCGGAUGAUAUUUUGAACCGCAUGGUUCAAAAGUGAAAGACGGUCUUGCUGUCACUUAUAGAUGGAUCCGCGCUGCAUUAGCUAGUUGGUAAGGUAACGGCUUACCAAGGCAACGAUGCAUAGCCGACCUGAGAGGGUGGUCCGGCACACUGGAAACGAGGCACGGGCCAGAAUCCUUAGGGAGGCCACAGUAGGGAAUUUUCCGCAAUGGGCGAAAACCUUACGGAGCAAAGGCGCGUGAGGGAUUGAGGGCCUCCGAUCGUUAAACUCUGUUAUUAGGGAAGAACAUAUGUGUAAGUAACUGUGCACAUCUUGACGGUACCUAAUCAGAAAGCCACGGCUAACUACGUG